UGGGGAAUAUUGCACAAUGGGGGAAACCCUGAUGCAGCGACGCCGCGUGAAGGAAGAAGUAUCUCGGUAUGUAAACUUCUAUCAGCAGGGAAGAAAAUGACGGUACCUGACUAAGAAGCCCCGGCUAACUACGAGCCAGCAGCCGCGGUAAUACGUAGGGGGCAAGCGUUAUCCGGAUUUACUGGGUGUAAAGGGAGCGUAGACGGAAGAGCAAGUCUGAUGUGAAAGGCUGGGGCUUAACCCCAGGACUGCAUUGGAAACUGUUGUUCUAGAGUGCCGGAGAGGUAAGCGGAAUUCCUAGUGUAGCGGUGAAAUGCGUAGAUAUUAGGAGGAACACCAGUGGCGAAGGCGGCUUACUGGACGGUAACUGACGUUGAGGCUCGAAAGCGUGGGGAGCAAACAGG
rnacentral:rRNA from 1 species